rnacentral:rRNA from 1 species
AACGAACGCUGGCGGCGCGCCUAAUACAUGCAAGUCGAGCGAGAAGGUGUAGCAAUACACUUGUAAAGCGGCGAACGGGUGAGGAAUACAUGGGUAAUCUACCAUCGAGUGGGGAAUAACCAACCGAAAGGUUGGCUAAUACCGCGUACGCCUCCGGAUCUUCGGGUUCGGAGGGAAAGCUGCACUGUGAGUGUAGCGCUCUUUGAUGAGCUCAUGUCCUAUCAGCUUGUUGGUAGGGUAACGGCCUACCAAGGCUUUGACGGGUAGCUGGUCUGAGAGGACGAUCAGCCACACUGGCACUGCGACACGGGCCAGACUCCUACGGGAGGCAGCAGUAAGGAAUAUUGCGCAAUGGGCGAAAGCCUGACGCAGCGACGCCGCGUGGGGAUGAAGGUCUUCGGAUUGUAAACCCUUCGGAGGGAAGAUGGAGCGAGCAAUCGUUCGGACGGUACCUCCAGAAGCAGCCACGGCCAACUUCGUGCCAGCAGCCG